CCUACGGGAGGCAGCAGUGAGGAAUAUUGGUCAAUGGGCGCGAGCCUGAACCAGCCAAGUAGCGUGAAGGAUGAAUGCCCUACGGGUUGUAAACUUCUUUUAUAAAGGAAUAAAGUGAGGCACGUGUGCCUUUUUGUAUGUACUUUAUGAAUAAGGAUCGGCUAACUCCGUGCCAGCAGCCGCGGGAAUACGGAGGAUCCGAGCGUUAUCCGGAUUUAUUGGGUUUAAAGGGAGCGUAGAUGGGUUGUUAAGUCAGUUGUGAAAGUUUGCGGCUCAACCGUAAAAGUGCAAUUGAUACUGGCAGCCUUGAGUACAGGUGAGGUAGGCGGAAUUCGGGGUGUAGCGGUGAAAUGCUUAGAUAUUACGAAGAACUCCGAUUGCGAAGGCAGCUUACUAAACUGUCACUGACAUUGAUGCUCGAAAGUGUGGGUAUCAAACAGGAUUAGAUACCCCUGUAGUC
rnacentral:rRNA from 1 species